rnacentral:lncRNA from 1 species
GGAGAUUCCAAGUUCUAGAACAAAGAUUCUGGUGAUGCCCCAGAGGGUUACUGCAGCUUACACUAUGGGGUGAACUGGGAGGCUCUGAGCCAUCCUAAAGUGGUGAUGUGUGCACCAACAGACAAUUUUAUUUCCAUGUGUUUGUAUACUUUUCAAACACAAGUAUCCUCUUGUCAUUGAUUUCUUUUUCUUUUUUCUUUUUUUUUUUUUUUUUUUGAGACGGAGUCUCGUUCUGUCCCCCAGGCUGGAGUGCAGUGGCAUGAUCUCGGCUCACUGCAACCUCCGCCUCCCAGGUUCAAGCAAUUCUCCUGCCUCGGCCUCCCGAGUAGCUGGGAUUACAGGCACCUGCCAUCACACCUGGCAAUUUUUUGUAUUUUCAGUAGAGACAGGGUUUUGCCAUGUUGGCCAGGUUGGUCUCAAACUCCUGACCUCAGGUGAUCCGCCUGCCUCAGCCUCCCAAAGUGCUGGGAUUACAGGCAUGAUUUCUAAUUUUAUUCCACUGUGGUCAGAAAAGAUACUUGAUCUGAUUCCUACUUUUUUGAAUUUAUCAAGACUUAUUUUGUGCCCUAAGCUAUGCUAAGCUGUGGUCUAUUCUGGAGAAUGUUUGUUCUGUGUGCCGAUGAAAACAAUCUGUAUUCUGCUGCAGUUGGGUGAAACAUUCUGUGAAAACGGAAUUUCGCCCUUAUUGCCCAGGCUGGUGUGCAGUGGCCUUAUCCCGGCUCACCGCAACCUCCACCUCCCAGGUUCAAGCGAUUCUCCUGCCUCAGCCUCACGAGUAGCUGGGAUUACAGGCAUGUGCCACCACGCCAAGCUAAUUUUGUAUUUCUAGUAGAGACGGGGGUUUCUCCAUGUUGAUCAGGCUGGUCUGGAACUCCUGACCUCAGGUGAUCUGCCCGCCUUGGUCUCCCAAAGUGUUGGGAUUAUAGGUGUGAGCCACCACGCCCGGCCUCUUAAACAUUUUUAAGUGUUCAGUUGAGUAGUGUUAAGUUCACUCACAUCGUUGCGCAAUAGAUCUCUAGAACCUUUUAAUCUUGCAACACUGAAACUCCAGACCUACUGAAUACUAAAUCACCCCAGCCCUUGGUAACCACCUUUCUACUUCCUAUUUCUAUGAUUCUCACUGAUUUCCAUACUUCAUAUGAAUAGAAUCAUAUGGUGUUUGUCAUUUUGUGACUAGCUUGUUUCUCAGCAUAAUGUCCUCGAGGUUCAACCAUGUUGUUGCAAGAAUUUCCUUCCUUUUUUCAAGGUUGCAUAAUGUUGUCUGUAUAUCCCACAAUUUCUUUAGCCUUUAUUCUUCUUGCCUCAUAUAAUGUGGUGACAUGUCAUGUCUUACCAAGUUCCAACCCUUUGACCCCACAUUCCCACUAUGUAGAAUAUAGUGCUUUUUUGUCCUUAGCUCUGUCCUUGAAGCUGAUCUCCAUCUUCAGAAGGUGGAGGGAAAGGAAACUAAGUGGAUGAAAGAGGAAGGGAAAGACUGCGUACCUCAUCCACUGAUAAUUUUUGACACCUCACAUUAAAACCUGGAUUGCCAUUUUCUGUUUGUUGGUAAUUGUAUGCUAUACUUUUGAUUAAAGUUUUAUUUUAAUGUA